rnacentral:rRNA from 1 species
AGCAGGCGCGCAAAUUACCCACUCCCGGCACGGGGAGGUAGUGACGAAAAAUAACGAUACGGGACUCAUCCGAGGCCCCGUAAUCGGAAUGAGUACACUCUAAACCCUUUAACAAGGAUCAAUUGGAGGGCAAGUCUGGUGCCAGCCGCCGCGGUAAUUCCAGCUCCAAUAGCGUAUAUUAAAGUUGUUGCGGUUAAAAAGCUCGUAGUCGAAUCUGUGUCCCGCGCCGCUGGUUCAUCGCUCGCGGUGCCAACUGGCGUGUUCGCGGGACGUCCUGCCGGUGGGCUCAUCGAAUUGAUUGCUUCGGCGGUCGUUCGUGGCCCAACUCGUAUCCGUCUCGUGCGGGUGCGAAUCCCUUCGCGGUGCUCUUUACUGAGUGUCGAGGUGGGCCGGCACGUUUACUUUGAACAAAUUAGAGUGCUUAAAGCAGGCCAAUUUUGCCUGAAUAUUGUGUGCAUGGAAUAAUGGAAUAGGACCUCGGUUCUAUUUUGUUGGUUUUCGGAACCCCGAGGUAAUGAUUAAUAGGAACGGAUGGGGGCAUUCGUAUUGCGACGUUAGAGGUGAAAUUCUUGGAUCGUCGCAAGACGGACAGAAGCGAAAGCAUUUGCCAAAAACGUUUUCAUUGAUCAAGAACGAAAGUUAGAGGUUCGAAGGCGAUCAGAUACCGCCCUAGUUCUAACCAUAAACGAUGCCAGCUAGCGAUCCGCCGACGUUCCUCCGAUGACUCGGCGGGCAGCUUCCGGGAAACCAAAGCUUUUGGGUUCCGGGGGAAGUAUGGUUGCAAAGCUGAAACUUAAAGGAAUUGACGGAAGGGCACCACCAGGAGUGGAGCCUGCGGCUUAAUUUGACUCAACACGGGGAACCUCACCAGGCCCAGACACCGGAAGGAUUGACAGAUUGAGAGCUCUUUCUUAAUUCGGUGGGUGGUGGUGCA